UACGUAGGGUGCGAGCGUUGUCCGGAAUUAUUGGGCGUAAAGAGCUCGUAGGCGGCCUGUUGCGUCGGUUGUGAAAGCCCGGGGCUUAACCCCGGGUCUGCAGUCGAUACGGGCAGGCUAGAGUUCGGUAGGGGAGAUCGGAAUUCCUGGUGUAGCGGUGAAAUGCGCAGAUAUCAGGAGGAACACCGGUGGCGAAGGCGGAUCUCUGGGCCGAUACUGACGCUGAGGAGCGAAAGCGUGGGGAGCGAACAGG
rnacentral:rRNA from 1 species